AUCCCAAGCAAAACUUGGUUUUUUUUUCGUGUUUGUUUGAUUCAUGGGAAGCCAAUAUCGAAGUCUCGUGGGAUGUUUCGCUGAUAAAUACCUUUUUAAUGUUAAUCUGGAGGUGUUUUAAUAGUAGCUUCCCAUACAUAU